rnacentral:ncRNA from 1 species
CCGCGAGUCGCUACUGCAGAUGGAUUAUUUAGGGAGGUCUUUGAAGGUGGUCAUUUGGUAGUCCCUAGGGAUUACAUUUGAAUCGCUGAAGUUGACCGAACGUGAUGAUUUAGAGGUAGUAAAAGUCGUUACAAGGUUUCUGAAUGUGAACCUGCGGAAG